GGGGAAUAUUGGACAAUGGGCGAAAGCCUGAUCCAGCCAUGCCGCGUGUGUGAAGAAGGCCUUUUGGUUGUAAAGCACUUUAAGUGGGGAGGAAAAGCUUAUGGUUAAUACCCAUAAGCCCUGACGUUACCCACAGAAUAAGCACCGGCUAACUCUGUGCCAGCAGCCGCGGUAAUACAGAGGGUGCAAGCGUUAAUCGGAAUUACUGGGCGUAAAGCGCGCGUAGGUGGUUAUUUAAGUCAGAUGUGAAAGCCCCGGGCUUAACCUGGGAACUGCAUCUGAUGCUGGAUAACUAGAGUAGGUGAGGGGGGAGUAGAAUUCCAGGUGUAGCGGUGAAAUGCGUAGAGAUCUGGAGGAAUACCGAUGGCGAAGGCAGCUCCCUGGCAUCAUACUGACACUGAGGUGCGAAAGCGUGGGUAGCAAACAGGAUUAGAUACCCUGGUAGUCCACGCCGUAAACGAUGUCUACCAGUCGUUGGGUCUUUUAAAGACUUAGUGACGCAGUUAACGCAAUAAGUAGACCGCCUGGGGAGUACGGCCGCAAGGUUA
rnacentral:rRNA from 1 species